rnacentral:rRNA from 1 species
UGGGGAAUAUUGCACAAUGGGCGCAAGCCUGAUGCAGCGACGCCGCGUGAGGGAUGGAGGCCUUCGGGUUGUAAACCUCUUUCGCCAGUGAAGCAGGCCAUCUUCUUUGUGGGGUGGUUGACGGUAGCUGGAUAAGAAGCGCCGGCUAACUACGUGCCAGUAGCCGCGGUAAUACGUAGGGCGCGAGCGUUGUCCGGAAUUAUUGGGCGUAAAGAGCUCGUAGGCGGCUGGUCGCGUCUGUCGUGAAAUCCCCUGGCUUAACUGGGGGCUUGCGGUGGGUACGGGCCGGCUUGAGUGCGGUAGGGGAGACUGGAAUUCCUGGUGUAGCGGUGGAAUGCGCAGAUAUCAGGAGGAACACCGGUGGCGAAGGCGGGUCUCUGGGCCGUUACUGACGCUGAGGAGCGAAAGCGUGGGGAGCGAACAGG